ensembl:lncRNA
GGUCACCCAAAAAGUUGCAUAUUGUAGCUUUAAGAACGCUGUAAUUACCGAACAAUGCCACAGAGCUAACUACCUUUGGCAUAGAUUAGAACAAUGCCACAGAGCUAACUACCUCUAUGGCAUAGAUUAGAACAAUGGCGCCACCUAACAAUACCAUUGUUAAGUAUACUGGCAUUACCGAACAAUGCCACAGAGCUAACUACCUUACAACCAUAGAAAUAAGAAUUCAUUGAUUUAUUUGAUAAAGAAGGAAAUAUACUCUUAUAGAAAGUUCUUUAGAAAAAUAGAACUUCCCAAUACAUUAUAAAGAAUUUUAUUCUAUAUGCAAAGCAAUACCUUCAGGACUUACUCAAUUAAUUAAAUGUCAUUUGUGUUUUGGAGAACAUGUCAAGAUGGAUGCACAACUUCUGUUAGAAGGUUUCCCCCUGCUGGAAAACAAAUGUAAUAAUACAUUCUUAAGAUAACUUUUUAACUCCAAGAACAAGAUAUCUCCUUGAGGGAAAUUCUUCUGGAAUGCAUAUGCUACUGAAAUUGAAUGGAAGAAAGCUUGAUUGCUCCCUCACACAUUUUGUAUAUCAAAUAAAGUAAAAGAAAUUCACUUUAAAGUCUUGCACAAAGUAUACCCUUGCAGUUGUCCUCUAAAUCCAUGAAUUUAGACAUCUGCCUUUUCUGUGAUCAAGAAGGGGAAACCAUUAUACACUUUAUGAGUGUGACUCUGAAGUUAUUUUGGAGCAGGUUAAAUAUUUACAUUUUUUAAAUUGUAUUUACAAUGAAAGAUGUAAUACGUUAUUAUUUUUUUGUGCAGGCUUCACACACUUCAUCAGUCUCCCAUUCACAAUUUGACAAGCAAUUUCCUGGCUACAUCCCCUUUGUGUGGCCGUAAUGCCCCCUAAAACAUCCAUUCCCAAGGGACUUUGGACCCUUGGGCUGAAUAUAAUAAUGAUCAUUCCCUUCUCCCGGCUGCGUGCUGAAGCACCUCUCACUCACAUGACUCUUUGUCACGUAAUCUGGUCUUUCUCACAGGCUACAAGACCGACCCAUCGUGAAUGCAACUGCGCGCGUCCUUAUCCAAUUCCGAGGCUCAUGUUGAAGGCUUUAAGAAGGAGCAGUUGACAUCAGGUUCUGAUCCACCGGCGGCCGUAAUGACCCCUGAACCUGAUGAUGGUAUCGCUAACGGCGGCCCGGCGGCGUCAGAGACCGCCGUGCAGAAGUGCGGAUCCUGAGGUUAAAGGUCACACUGGAUAACUGGCUGGGACCAAUAAAUUAUUAUUAAGCAUGUCUUGAAAAGGAUGCAUUCACAGAACUGUAUGUCGACAAACGCAGUCUCCUUGUUCGAAAAACUUUUGUACGUUUAUCAGGGAAAUUCUACUUUCCUGAUCUGGACGGUCUAUAAACAACAUUCACUAUUCUGAUACGUCUUCAUUUCUUCUUCAAAAGUGUGGAUUAUGUAUUAUAUUACUAGAUAUAACUGCAUUGUUGGAGCUAGAAACAUAAGAAUUUUGCUGCACCUGCAAAUCUGUACGCGACCAAUAAACUUUGAUAACUUUUUUGUAUAGCCCAACAUACUCUUACUUAACUUUGCUAUCCUUAAUCAAAGCAUUCCCAUAGAAAUUGUCACUACGACCAUAAUGAUGACUAGUUUUGAGACCAAAUUAUGACAUAAGUCAUUCAAUUUACGUUGUGUAGGUUUCUGAACCCAAGUAUGCUAAUACGAUAUCGCAAUAAAAAGUUGAUUAUUUACUGAUCUAUAGAAGAUCUUUAACAGCCCUCCAACUGGAAAAAUGUUUAUGUUGUCAUGCCCUUGCUGUCCCAGCCUCUGUCCAGUGUGCCCAUACUCAGUGGACCAAAUACUAAGCUGAGAUACUUGCUGUAAUUCCAACUUUCAGUCAUUAAGUCAGUGUGAAGUUAUGACAUUUUCAUAUACACUGAUCUCAGGUUAAUAUUGGGUCCAGUGAGCUCUGUUUAACCUCUGACACCAGAUGACCCUUUAUAGCUGCAGCGUGUGACGACCUGCUCACCAACCCCUCCACCCAGGGACUGAGCUGUUCUGAUGCCCCUGCUGCAGCUUCCCUAAUAAAAACUUAAACUAUCUGGUCG